rnacentral:rRNA from 2 species
GUUGGGUAGGGGAGCGUUCUGUAAGCCUGUGAAGGUGUGUCGUGAGGCAUGCUGGAGGUAUCAGAAGUGCGAAUGCUGACAUAAGUAACGAUAAAGCGGGUGAAAAGCCCGCUCGCCGGAAGACCAAGGGUUCCUGUCCAACGUUAAUCGGGGCAGGGUGAGUCGACCCCUAAGGCGAGGCCGAAAGGCGUAGUCGAUGGGAAACGGGUUAAUAUUCCCGUACUUGGUGUUACUGCGAAGGGGGGACGGAGAAGGCUAUGUUGGCCGGGCGACGGUUGUCCCGGUUUAAGCGUGUAGGUGUGUGUUCCAGGUAAAUCCGGUUCACUUUAACACUGAGGCGUGAUGACGAGGCACUACGGUGCUGAAGCAACAAAUGCCCUGCUUCCAGGAAAAGCCUCUAAGCAUCAGGUAACAUCAAAUCGUACCCCAAACCGACACAGGUGGUCAGGUAGAGAAUACCAAGGCGCUUGAGAGAACUCGGGUGAAGGAACUAGGCAAAAUGGUGCCGUAACUUCGGGAGAAGGCACGCUGACACGUAGGUGAAGUGAUUUACUCAUGGAGCUGAAGUCAGUCGAAGAUACCAGCUGGCUGCAACUGUUUAUUAAAAACACAGCACUGUGCAAACACGAAAGUGGACGUAUACGGUGUGACGCCUGCCCGGUGCCGGAAGGUUAAUUGAUGGGGUCAGCGCAAGCGAAGCUCCUGAUCGAAGCCCCGGUAAACGGCGGCCGUAACUAUAACGGUCCUAAGGUAGCGAAAUUCCUUGUCGGGUAAGUUCCGACCUGCACGAAUGGCGUAAUGAUGGCCAGGCUGUCUCCACCCGAGACUCAGUGAAAUUGAACUCGCUGUGAAGAUGCAGUGUACCCGCGGCAAGACGGAAAGACCCCGUGAACCUUUACUAUAGCUUGACACUGAACAUUGAGCCUUGAUGUGUAGGAUAGGUGGGAGGCUUUGAAGUGUGGACGCCAGUCUGCAUGGAGCCGACCUUGAAAUACCACCCUUUAAUGUUUGAUGUUCUAACGUGGACCCGUAAUCCGGGUUGCGGACAGUGUCUGGUGGGUAGUUUGACUGGGGCGGUCUCCUCCUAAAGAGUAACGGAGGAGCACGAAGGUUGGCUAAUCCUGGUCGGACAUCAGGAGGUUAGUGCAAUGGCAUAAGCCAGCUUGACUGCGAGCGUGACGGCGCGAGCAGGUGCGAAAGCAGGUCAUAGUGAUCCGGUGGUUCUGAAUGGAAGGGCCAUCGCUCAACGGAUAAAAGGUACUCCGGGGAUAACAGGCUGAUACCGCCCAAGAGUUCAUAUCGACGGCGGUGUUUGGCACCUCGAUGUCGGCUCAUCACAUCCUGGGGCUGAAGUAGGUCCCAAGGGUAUGGCUGUUCGCCAUUUAAAGUGGUACGCGAGCUGGGUUUAGAACGUCGUGAGACAGUUCGGUCCCUAUCUGCCGUGGGCGCUGGAGAACUGAGGGGGGCUGCUCCUAGUACGAGAGGACCGGAGUGGACGCAUCACUGGUGUUCGGGUUGUCAUGCCAAUGGCACUGCCCGGUAGCUAAAUGCGGAAGAGAUAAGUGCUGAAAGCAUCUAAGCACGAAACUUGCCCCGAGAUGAGUUCUCCCUGAGACUUUAGGUCUCCUGAAGGAACGUUGAAGACGACGACGUUGAUAGGCCGGGUGUGUAAGCGCAGCGAUGCGUUGAGCUAACCGGUACUAAUGAACCGUGAGGCUUAACCUU